rnacentral:rRNA from 1 species
AAUAUUAAAGGGCUGCAGUAUAUUGACUGUACAAAGGUAGCAUAAUAAUUAGUCUUUUAAUUGGAGACUUGUAUGAAAGAUUUAAUGAGAUAUAAACUGUCUCUUAAUUAAAAUUAAAAUUUAAUUUUUUAGUAAAAAAGCUAAAAUAUUUUUAAAAGACGAGAAGACCCUAUAGAGUUUUAUAAUUGAUAUUUUAAUUUGAUUAUUAUAAAAUUUAAAUUUAAUAAAAAUUUAAUUAUUUUGUUGGGGUGAUGAAAAAAUAAAUAAAACUUUUUUUAAAUAAUUAACAUAAAUUAAUGAAAAAAUGAUCCAUAAAUAAUGAUUAAAAGAAAAAAUUACCUUAGGGAUAACAGCGUAAUUUUUUCUUUUAGUUCUUAUAAAAUAAAAAGUUUGCGACCUCGAUGUUGGAUUAAGAUAAAAUUUAAAUGCAGAAGUUUAAAAUUUU